rnacentral:misc_RNA from 1 species
GCGGAGGGAUCAUUACACAAAUAUGAAGGCGGGCUGAAACCUCUCGGGGCUACAGCCUUGCUGAAUUAUUCACCCUUGUCUUUUGCGUACUUCUUGUUUCCUUGGUGGGUUCGCCCACCACUAGGACAAACAUAAACCUUUUGUAAUUGCAAUCAGCGUCAGUAACAAAUUAAUAAUUACAACUUUCAACAACGGAUCUCUUGGUUCUGGCA